ACCCGCUGAACUUAAGCAUAUCAAUAAGCGGAGGAAAAGAAACUAACUAGGAUUCCCCUAGUAACGGCGAGUGAAGCGGGAAGAGCUCAAAUUUGAAAUCUGGCAGCCUCAGGUUGCCCGAGUUGUAAUCUAUAGAAACGUUUUCCGCGCCGGCCCAUGUACAAGUCCCUUGAAAUAGGGCGUCAUAGAGGGUGAGAAUCCCGUCCUUGACACGGACCACCGGUGCUUUGUGAUACGUUUUCAACGAGUCGAGUUGUUUGGGAAUGCAGCUCAAAAUGGGUGGUAAAUUCCAUCUAAAGCUAAAUAUUGGCGAGAGACCGAUAGCGAACAAGUACCGAUGAGGGAAAGAUGAAAAGCACUUUGCGAAAGAGAGUUAAACAGUAUGUGAAAUUGUUGAAAGGGAAACGAUUGAAGUCAGUCGUGUCUAUUGGACUCAGCCGGUUCUGCCGGUGUACUUCCUUUAGAUGGGGUCAACAUCAGUUUUGAUCGCUGGAAAAGUUCGGGAUGGAUGUAGCACUCUCGGUUGAACUUAUAGCCUUCCGUCGUAUACAGUGAGUUAGGAUUGAGGAACGCAGCAUGCCUUUAUGUGCCGGGGUUCGCCCACGUACAUGCUUACGAUGUUGACAUAAUGGCUUUAAACGACCCGUCUUGAAACACGG
rnacentral:rRNA from 1 species